rnacentral:rRNA from 1 species
AGUGAACGCUGGCGGUAGGCCUAACACAUGCAAGUCGAACGGCAGCACAGUAAGAGCUUGCUCUUACGGGUGGCGAGUGGCGGACGGGUGAGGAAUACAUCGGAAUCUACUUUUUCGUGGGGGAUAACGUAGGGAAACUUACGCUAAUACCGCAUACGACCUACGGGUGAAAGCAGGGGAUCUUCGGACCUUGCGCGAUUGAAUGAGCCGAUGUCGGAUUAGCUAGUUGGCGGGGUAAAGGCCCACCAAGGCGACGAUCCGUAGCUGGUCUGAGAGGAUGGUCCGGCACACUGGAACUGGGACACCGUCCCGGCUCCUACGGGAAGCAGCAGUGGGGAAUAUUUGGCAAUGGGGGCAAACCUGAUCCAGCCCUUCCGCGGGGGUGAAGAAGGCCUUCCGGUUGUAAAGCCCUUUUGUUGGGAAAGAAAAGCAGCAGGUUAAUACCCCGCUGUUCUGACGGUACCCAAAGAAUAAGCACCCGCUAACUUCGUG